CCUACGGGAGGCAGCAGUGGGGAAUAUUGCGCAAUGGGCGAAAGCCUGACGCAGCGACGCCGCGUGAGGGAUGAAGGUCUUCGGAUCGUAAACCUCUGUCAGCAGGGAAGAACGGUCACUGUGCUAAUCAGCAGUGAAUUGACGGUACCUGCAAAGGAAGCACCGGCUAACUCCGUGCCAGCAGCCGCGGUAAUACGGAGGGUGCGAGCGUUAAUCGGAAUUACUGGGCGUAAAGCGGUCGUAGGCGGUAUGUCAAGUCAAGGGUGAAAUCCCCGCGCUGAACGUGGGAACUGCCUUUGAAACUGGCGGACUGGAGUGUGGGAGAGGAUAGUGGAAUUCCAGGUGUAGGGGUGAAAUCCGUAGAUAUCUGGAGGAACAUCAGUGGCGAAGGCGACUAUCUGGCACAUAACUGACGCUGAGGAGCGAAAGCGUGGGUAGCAAACAGGAUUAGAUACCCUUGUAGUC
rnacentral:rRNA from 1 species